GGUUGUGUUGUGUGGUGCAAACGCUCGUUGGAUUUUGUGCUUUGGAAGUCCUUUUUAUGGGUAUCGUGAAACAAAGUAUUAAGACCCUGCUUGACUCCAGUCCUCAGCAGCUCAGUAGGAUUGAUGAGUGGCAGUGUCUCAUAAAUCUGAAAUGAGUUUGGGUUCCUUGGUGCCACACGUCACCCAUCAGUCAAGCCUAUAGAUAUAGCCGCCAACCUUGUACUCUGACGAGAAAAGUGUCUACCAGGCCAAGGGAAAGCAUCAGCUAUCGAGUAAACUAGAACAACUCCCGGGAACAAAGGACGAAACAUGGACAUGAACUUGGACGUGAAUGCGAAGUGAUGCUGGGAGGAAGCGAGGCCCAGGACAUGGAGGAAUGAACCACAAACGCAAAGUAACACGAGGGUCGUGGAGCAUCUUGAACACGAAAGGUAAUUUCCAUGUUCCAUAGAGGAGAUCUCAGCUCCCGGGAAAGCUGUGCUAGUGGUCCUGCUCCAAACAAAGUGGGGUGUUCCAGGGACCAGUUCCCGGCACUCACGUAUUGCUUCCACACCUGCCUCCCUGCGUCACCUGAAGAGCUUCGGGUGGCCAUGUCCCUUGAAGCAAGAAUAAGUUUGUGGUUCCUGCUUCCAUACAUCACCCAUUAGCUCAACCUUUAGAUAUACUCGUAGACACCAAUCUUCUACAGAGACGAGGUCAACCACUCAUGAGUGUCGGCGCCCGCUGUUUCUUGGCGACAUCUCUUCGUGCAGUGGUUCCCGAACACCUAGUGAAACACCUGAUUGCCUGCGCCACCUCAGACUGCUA